ACACUGCUGAGGAGUCCCAUAAUAGGAUGAGACGGCCGUCCAGUGU
rnacentral:hammerhead_ribozyme from 1 species